rnacentral:rRNA from 1 species
AUGUCUACUUGGGUGACAAGGGCUUCGGUCAGAGAAAGGUGGAACGCUAACCUGCAGAUCCGUCUCGGCUCGCCCAAGGCGCUCGCCUCCCUCAUGAUGCUCAUCUCUUAGGAGGUUUGGUCGGAGCACAAUGCUAGAGUCUUCCGCAAUUCAGCGGCCCCUUCCAUGACCAUCAUCAGCAAAAUCAAGCAGGAGGUAUCGCUUUGGAGUUUGGUUGGAGCGAAGCAUUUGGGUGUUGUAAUGCCGCGAGAGUAG